GACGAACGCUGGCGGCGUGCCUAAUACAUGCAAGUCGAACGGUCUUUUCUAUGGAAGCUUGCUUCCACUGAGAAGAUAGUGGCGAACGGGUGAGUAACACGUGGGUAACCUGCCCAUAAGAGGGGGAUAACAUCCGGAAACGGGUGCUAAUACCGCAUAGGUUGCUUGAUCGCAUGAUCGAGAAAGGAAAGACGGCCUUUGUGCUGUCGCUUAUGGAUGGACCCGCGGAGUAUUAGUUAGUUGGUGAGGUAACGGCUCACCAAGACGAUGAUACGUAGCCGACCUGAGAGGGUGAUCGGCCACAUUGGGACUGAGACACGGCCCAAACUCCUACGGGAGGCAGCAGUAGGGAAUCUUCCGCAAUGGACGAAAGUCUGACGGAGCAACGCCGCGUGAGUGAAGAAGGUUUUCGGAUCGUAAAACUCUGUUGUCGGAGAAGAACAAGUCGGAGAGUAACUGCUCCGGCCUUGACGGUGUCUGACCAGAAAGCCACGGCUAACUACGUGCCAGCCGCCGCCGUAAUAC
rnacentral:rRNA from 1 species